CUUUAGCCACAUUAGGCAAUUCUGUAAUCUUAUUUAAGGAAAUAAUGAAGCACAAUAAUAAUGUAUUUAUUUUGAUUUAAUAAAAAGCUUAUUUUAUAUUUAUAUGAACCAACCUAUUUUUCUAAGGAUUCUAAGAAAUCAUUCUAGUGAUUACACGUGGCUACAAAAAAAUGUUGCAAUGCUUCUCAAAUAAUAUAUAGGGGAUUCAGUUUCUACCGAACUUGAAAAAGACCAUUAAUUUUGUGAAUUUGGUUGAUGUGGCGUUAGGCUGGAGCAGGAAUCUGAGUUUUUAAGUAUUAAAUACUUCGAAGAGUAAUUGAGUUUUAUAAUUUUUAAUAAAAAUCAAUUACAAAAUUUAUAGGCCUGGUGCAAAUUAUAAAACUCAAUUACGCUUCGAAAAAUUAUAAAAUUAUGUGAUUUCGUGAUUAGAAAAUUAUAUGUUGUAACCACACGAGCGUGGUCAAGUGGUACACACGGACUUGGAAAGGUGCUAAACACCCUGGUUUAAAACUUGACAUCUCAGAUAUAUCCGAUUGUAUGGCCAGUCAAAAUAGAUCUUUAAUUUCCAUUGCGAGGUCUGUUUGGCGUCAGUAAACAAACCCUCCCCCCCCCUUCCCCCUCAAGAAUUACUCGAUUGGAUUUCGGCUUGCUGGAUACCCGAGAUUAUAAAAAGAAAACUAAAUGUGGUAUGGUUUCUUAUCAAGAAAAUUACGGCUUGUGUGUUUGUAAUUAAAAAGAAUGUUUAGUAUGGUUUCUUAGUGCAUGAUUAUCGGUGGUGGGAGGAGGGUUCUUACGCAUGGGCCCCACCAUCUUUUUGCAAAAACCGUGUUUCAAUGUCGCCAAAUAAGAAACGUUUCACAGGGGUUUGUUGUACUGUUUACGGGCCUCACAAACACGUGGCAGCGCGCGAUUGAUUUAUUUUUAAUUUUUUUUUAAAUCAGAACACACAAAAAAAAAUUAAGAACCCAAAAACGUUUUUACCGAUAAUGAUGCUCUUAAUAGGCUAAUUUUGUGCGGCCAAAAGAACACAUCAAACUUUCGGUGGAGCUAAUAGUUUUCUUGUCUAAUAUUUGUCUACUAGUACUAAGCAAUAUGUGAACAGAGAAAUCUGAGAAGUUUUCAUUGGUCACGGCUUGUAACAAUUAAUAUGCUCACAUGUGAACGUAAUAUUGGUCCAAUGUGUUCAGUUUUAAAUAUUCUCUUCGUCUUUGUCUUUGGUCCCAAAAUCUAUUGUCUUUAUAUCUAUAGCUCUUCGAUCCAGCUAAAUAAUCUUAGGUGACUAUAUAUAGGGCACAUUUUUCAUAUACAUCUUUCGUAUCCCACCCUUUUCAGCACGUUCUUUUCUCAUCUUGUCAAUAUUGAAUUAUACGUUUAGGAACACUGAUGCGUAAAGUUACAGAGUGAUGUCAAGAUUUUAAAAUUAUCCAUAUGGUUGGUUCAUAUGUGGGUAGAUGAGGGUACCUCAUAGCUCAUAUGACAGAUUUCAACAUUGUCAGUUAAUCCUUGAUUUAAUCUACGGUGAUAUUUUAGCGGAGAAGGUGAUAGGGGAUUUUUUAGGAUUGAUCUUUUGUCCUGAAGCCUUUUUAUACUUGCCAAUGAUCAUAUCAUUAGAGGCAGCAGCUUUUGGUUGUGGUUUUGGCGAAUAACAUGAUGUCGCGUGCAAUUAGAAGAUUAUUUAUCUAUAGCUUCCUCUCACCACUCGAAUGCUUUUCAGAGGUUCUAGUGACUUAUCUGAGUGGCAUAAAUCUGAAAGCACUACUCCAUAGAGUAUGAAAAUACAUGGGAAGAUUAGUUUUCUUGUCUAAUUGCACGUUAAGGUAAGAAAAAUAUUUUUACAUGGCCAUUGAUAAAGGAGUAGGAAACAUAAGUAACCCAUUGCAUUAUCCAAUUGCAGUAGUUCAAUCAUGAAAACCCAAUCGUAUUAGGACAACUUAUAUGAAAACCCACGCGAGUCUGUCAUAGCUUUACUUAUUCCGGUUUUAUAGCCAUGGAACAAUACUUUUGAUCUCUUGAAUUCUUUCAGAACGUGAAGAUUAUAAUGAAUGAUCAUCACAUUGUCAAAGAUGAAUCGAUUUGUAUUGGGACAUGUACAUAUCCCAAACCUAGAUGACAUUAGAAUAGAAUAUAUCCAUUAUUGUAGUUUCCUCUAAUUCUAUAGUAUUAGGAAAUCUGAUGUGUAUAAAUAUAGGCACGCCUCUCUUGAGGUCUUAGAUGAAUGAUAAGAACCAAUUAUCGACCUUCUCAAUUUGUUUGGUACGAAUGCGUAUUGAUUUGCCGAGAUAACAAGGUUGAAUAUAUGUUGGAGGCGUAUGAUGAGGAUCUUUAAAAUGAUAGUAAGGUAAACGUUAGAGAGAGCUAUCUGUCUAUAAUCAUCAAUCUUGAUAAAAAGAAACUCCAACUAUAUAUGGAAUACUAUUUUAAUAAUAAUAUACCGGGUCUUACUUCGAUUGGGUGGAUUAAAAGUUGCAAAAAAUACUAUUGGUUUGAGCUUUAAUGGAAUCUUCACAUGCAUGUUCGUUACAUUCUCAUAACUAACCGACAGAUUGCUGGAACAUGAUCAAGACUCGCAUGCAUGUACUGACAGUGAAAUAACAUUGAUAGAUGUGGUCAAAGUUAUACGCUCGUUGACUGCAGAAGUUUAUAGUACUAGUUUUUUUUUUUUGUUGUUGGAAUCUUCUUAACAGAGCUAAUGAUAUAUGGAUAAAUCUCAUAAUACCAUCUUUAUGCAAAACCUGGUUUAUCUUCUCAUGAUUUGUACUAUAUUUCGUCUAUGAAAAUUACAAAACUAAUAUCGUGUUAUUUCACAAAAUAUCAUAAAGUUAUUUACACACAAUAUGCUUGGUUGAAACUGUAAAAAUCUUUUGACUGUAAAUUUUUAUUUUAAUAAGAAUUAGAUUUUUGUUUUAUAAUAGAAGAAUAUGAUCUGAUUGUAGUUUGAAUUUUAAUGGAUGUAUAUUCAUUCAGAAAAAAAAAGAAUUUUAAUGGAUGUAUAAACUUUAAUUUAGUUCUAAAGAUACUAGUUGAAUAUGUUAUAAUCAAAUUUUAACCUCUGUACAUAUUUAGAAGUUGUUUUAAAAUGAUAACAAAAAAAUAAUUUUUCAAAUCGUUGUUUCAUUAAUUUUAUUAUUUUUAAAAUCACAUCCAUUAUUUUUUUGAACAUAACAAAGAUUUUAAUUUUGGAAAUAUUCUUAAACUAAGGCAAUAACAAAACUGGCUAGAAACCAUAAAAUUUAGAUAUUUAAAAUAAGAUAAUAACAAAACUUCACAUCCAUUAUUUAACCGUUAAAGUUUUGAUAACCAACUAACCAAGUAAAAACUACAAUAACAUUGAUUUUUUUUAUUGGUUACAAAACGUAAAUCAGAAAUGGUUUUUGAAACAUUGAUUUUUUUUAUUAUAUUUUGAGUGUUUGAAGGACAAUUAAAGUAUGCUUGGGAAAAUUUUAACUUGAAAAAGAAAUUAUUUUAAAACCAUUAAAAUCUUAAGUGUCUAAAUACCAAAAACUCCCUAGCCCUCAAUAGAUUUGUUCACGAUGCCACAUAUUUUAUGGUAAAUGUAACCAGUGGCGGACCCAGCAAUAAUGUUUACCUGUGUCAUAAUAGAUAUAUUUUAAAAAUGUAUACAAAAAGUGUCAAGAUGGAGUUUGAACCCAGGUUUAGGGGUAUCAAAACCUAUAUACUCACCAUUUAAGCUACUGAUUACAUACUUUCAUACAUACCAAAAAACUAUUUAUGAUCAUUUAACCUGUGUCACCUGACCCACCUAACCUGGUAGUGGGUCCGCCUCUGAAUGUAACUAUAGAAACUAGAAAACUCAAAAAUAAAUAUAUUUAGCAUGAAAUUUAUUCAUAAAAGCUUCUUAUACCAAAAUUUUAAGUUAAAAAUUCAAACUAAUUCACACAAUCAUAAGUAAAUUGAUCAUAUAAGUAAUAUGCUAACUAAUAACUAGAUCAAAUUAUUAACUAGAUCUUGACCCGCACAACCGUGCGGGUUUUUAUAUUUAUAUACUAAAAUGUUUUAGUUUAUAUAACAAAAUUUAACAAUAACUUAACGUAAUUUAGUGUUAUAUAUUAUGUAAUUUUAUAAUAGCUACGUUUACGUAUGUGGCUUAUAUAUUAUUACUAUAAAUUUUAUAUUUUUGUAACAAAAAUUAUUUUGGAAACUUUAUUAUGUAACAAUAUUACUUUACAUACUUUUUAUUUUAAAUUUAUAUGAAAUCAAAUUAAAUUGGAUCUAUAUAGUAGAAAAUAUAUUUUUUGAGAUGCUGAGAAUUUCUUUUAAAGAAAAACUAUAAUACAUAAUACUUCAAAAUAUGUUUGUAGUAAAUAUCCUAUUUGAGAAAUACACAAAGUUGGAUAAAAUAUCUUCUUUUAAUUUAAAAUAGAAAUGAAUAUUUCUAACAAAAUCUUUGUAAAUUUUAUUUUUAAAAUUAAUCAGUUUAGAUUGUUAUUAUCAGUGAAUAUAUAAUUAUAAUACUUCAUAUAAUUUUACAUUUUCAUAUAUAAAUCAAAACUAAAAUAAAUUUUAAUUUCUAAUUAUAGUUUAUGAUAUCUAAAAUUAAAAUUAAUUACUUUUGGAUAUAAAAUUUAAAUUGAUUCCAAAAAUAUUUUUAAAAGAUUUUAUAGAACUUUCUUUAAAAAUAUUUAUUAUUAUUCAAUUAAAAUAUAAAUAUUAUAAUUAAUUCAUGUCAAAUUUGAUAAAAUUUUAAAGAAUGGUCCAAAUGAAAAAUCACGUAUGAAAAAUUCAUCACUACAGUCUAUAUAUAUAUAUAUAUAUAUAUAUAUAUAUAUAUAUAUAUAUUAUAUAUUUAUCAAUACAUGUUUGUUAACACAACAUCUAUAUAAAUAUUGAUAUAUGUAUAAUGUAUAACAUAAUUAAUAAUAAUAACACUUAUUAUGAAAAUACAAUAGUGUUAGGAUUUUAAUAUUUGAUUUGAUUUUAUUAUCUGCAUGGUGAAAUUCUAACAUUAUUUUAUUUGCAUAAUAAAUGUUAAUUGUUAUUAUUAUUAAUUAGAUCAUAUGCAGGUAUUAACUCUAGAAUAACUAGGCAACUAUAAUUAUAUAUUGAUGGAAUAAAUAUAUUUUCGAAAUUAUCCAUUAUUAAUUAUAUUUUGAUGGAAUAAAAAGAUAAUUAAAUAUCUUAUUAGGAUAUUGUUAUGAAAUACAAAAAAAAAAUGUAAGCAACUUUCUAGGGAUGGUCCAUUUAAAAUAUCACACAUGAAAGAAGUAUUGACUUCUCUUUUAAUAGUAUAGAAUAGAUCCUUCCACUCAUGUUCCACGAGCGAGAAAUCAGUUUUCAGACUUUUUAGCUAAGAAUGCUAGAUCCUUCCAUAGGGAGUUACUUUUCAUUGGUUGUUCUAUUCCGGUCUGGUUACCCAGACCACCUCAAGCUUGAGUAAUAGAAUGGCCGUUCGAUGU